rnacentral:rRNA from 1 species
AUUGAACGCUGGCGGCAGGCCUAACACAUGCAAGUCGAACGAGUGGCGGACGGGUGAGUAAUGUCUGGGAAACUGCCUGAUGGAGGGGGAUUACUACUGGAAACGGUAGCUAAUACCGCAUCCCAUCGGAUGUCCCUAGAUGUGAUUAGCUAGUAGGUGGGGUAACGGCUCACCUAGGCGACGAUCCCUACCUGGUCUGAGAGGAUGACCAGCCACACUGGAACUGAGACACGGUCCAGACUCCUACGGGAGGCAGCAGUGGGGAAUAUUGCACAAUGGGCGCAAGCCUGAUGCAGCCAUGCCGCGUGUAUGAAGAAGGCCUUCGGGUUGUAAAGUACUUUCAGCGAGGAGGCGUUACCCGCAGAAGACGCACCGGCUAACUCCGUGCCAGCCGCCGCGGUAAUAC